AGAGCGGAACGCGUGGACGGCGUGCUUAACACAUGCAAGUCGAGUGCGCAGCUUUCUGUAGCAAUACAGGAGGUGGGCGCACGGCGCACGGGUGAGUAACACGUGGGCAAUCUGCCCUUAGGUGGGGAAUAACCCCGCGAAAGCGGGGCUAAUACCGCAUGACAUUCCGGGAACCCAGGUUCACCGGACUCAAAGGCCGCAAGGCCGCCGAAGGAGGAGCCCGCGCCCGAUUAGCUAGUUGGCGAGGUAACGGCUCACCAAGGCUAUGAUCGGUAGCC
rnacentral:rRNA from 1 species